AGUUGUGGCUCAGUGGUAGAGCACUUGCCUAGCACAUGUGAGGCACUGGGUUCAAUCCUCAGCACUA
rnacentral:tRNA from 1 species